rnacentral:rRNA from 1 species
GACGAACGCUGGCGGCGUGCUUAACACAUGCAAGUCGAACGGAAAGGCCCUGCUUUUGUGGGGUGCUCGAGUGGCGAACGGGUGAGUAACACGUGAGUAACCUGCCCUUGACUUUGGGAUAACUUCAGGAAACUGGGGCUAAUACCGGAUAGGAGCUCCUGCUGCAUGGUGGGGGUUGGAAAGUUUCGGCGGUUGGGGAUGGACUCGCGGCUUAUCAGCUUGUUUGUGGGGUAGUGGCUUACCAAGGCUUUGACGGGUAGCCGGCCUGAGAGGGUGACCGGCCAGAUGGGGACUGAGAUACGGCCCAGACUACUACAGGAGGCAGCAGUGGGGAAUAUUGCACAAUGGGCGGAAGCCUGAUGCAGCAACGCCGCGUGCUGUAUGACGGCCGUCGGUUUGUAAACCGCUUUCGCCUGUGACGAAGCGUGAGUGACGGUAAUGGGUAAAGAAGCACCGGCUAACUACGGG